rnacentral:tRNA from 1 species
CCCGGGGUAGCUCAGUCGGUUAGAGCGUAGGACUCAUAAACCUAAGGUCGGCAGUUCGAUUCUGCCCCCCGGGACAA